ACCGCCAAUGUUUGAUUCACAGCAUGAACAAGUAAGCCUAGCAAAUAUCUCCCUUUCGUUGCGAUAGUGUGAAAAUGUGAAAGGAGAUCGUUUCUGGCAACGCUUUAUGCUAGUUGCUACGGUGCAAAACAAACUUGUUUGUUUAUGUUUAUCGUUGCUGUAUUGCAACAAAUUCAAAGCAAAUUUGUGGACACCAUGCUUAAUGCACUGAUAAAAGGACAAGUUACGAAAAUUCAGUCCAAAACCGAAAAAAAACAACGCGCAACAGGAUAUUUCCGUCAAUGUGGAAAGGCCAGAAGAAUGAACGUAUCGGGAAAUAAACUAGUUCCCGUUAACGUGCAGAGAAAUACUAAAAUUACAAAACCUGACGAUACGCAAAUUGUUUUAAAGUAAUCUAAUGUGAUUAAACCACAUUGUAUUAUCCUGAUCAUACAUACCGUUAUAGAGAUUUGAAGCAUAUACCAAUAAAAGAAAUUUUGCAAAAGUAUUCUAGAUACGAAACAGAGAUGAAGAACAUUUUCAACAAGUAUAAAAAAUUUAGCGAAAGGCAAUGGCCAAAUUACAAAACGAGAAAUUUGUGCUCUGGUCAGAUGUGGUCAUGAUUAUGACUGACGACCAAAUGUAUGAAAUGGCACGCUUCUUAGAGCAAAAAUUAUGUUCCCAAGAAGAGCUUGGAAUGUAUACAGAAUUUAUAGAUGCUGUUCUAUUAGGGGAGUGGGCCCUUCGUAUUUUCAUGGACCAGUUCAAAUUCCAUCAUAAGGACGAUGCUUUACAACAUAUCAAACUGCAGGAACAGGAAUUCAGUAAAUAAAACUCAACUCCGUCUGCAAAUAUAUAAGCCCAUAAGCCACACACACAC